AUUUCUUAGUUAAGUCUGACUCACCAUUCACCAGUGAGUGCAAAGUCAUCAUUGGAUCCCUCACCUAACAGUUAUUGAGCCCAACCCCAUCUUUAUCCCAGGGCAUCUAAUGCCGAUAGAUUGGUUAUGCCUUCUCGAUGUAAUCAAAUCACUGUAACCAGCUGAGAAUGAUCAACGUCAGAAAAGAUACCCGCAUCUUUAUAAUGGUGGA
rnacentral:lncRNA from 1 species